AACGAACGCUGGCGGCGUGCCUAACACAUGCAAGUCGAACGGUGAAAGAGGGAGCUUGCUCCUUCUGGAUCAGUGGCGAACGGGUGAGUAACACGUGAGUAACCUGCCCUUGACUCUGGGAUAAGCGUUGGAAACGACGUCUAAUACCGGAUACGAGCUUCAGCCGCAUGGCUAGGAGCUGGAAAGAACUUCGGUCAAGGAUGGACUCGCGGCCUAUCAGCUUGUUGGUGAGGUAAUGGCUCACCAAGGCGACGACGGGUAGCCGGCCUGAGAGGGUGACCGGCCACACUGGGACUGAGACACGGCCCAGACUCCUACGGGAGGCAGCAGUGGGGAAUAUUGCACAAUGGGCGCAAGCCUGAUGCAGCAACGCCGCGUGAGGGACGACGGCCUUCGGGUUGUAAACCUCUUUUAGUAGGGAAGAAGCGAAAGUGACGGUACCUGCAGAAAAAGCACCGGCUAACUACGUGCCAGCAGCCGCAGUAACAC
rnacentral:rRNA from 1 species